rnacentral:misc_RNA from 1 species
GAUGAAGAACGUAGCGAAAUGCGAUAAGUAAUGUGAAUUGCAGAAUUCAGUGAAUCAUCGAAUCUUUGAACGCACAUUGCGCCCGCCAGUAUUCUGGCGGACAUGCCUGUUCGAGCGUCAUUUCAACCAUCAAGCCCCAGGCUUGUGUUGGGGACCUGCGGCUGCCGCAGGCCCUGAAAACCAGUGGCGGGCUCGCUGUCACACCGGGCGUAGUAGAUUUUAUCUCGCUCAGGGCGUGCUGCGGGUUCCGGCCGUUAAAAAGCCUUUUUUACCCAAGGUUGACCUCGGAUCAGGUAGGAAGACCCGCUGAACUUAAGCAUAUCAAUAAGCGGAGGA